rnacentral:rRNA from 1 species
CAACUUUUUUCAACGGAUCUCUUUGGCUUCGCAUCGAUGAAGAACGCAGCGAAAUGCGAUACGUAAUGUGAAUUGCAGAAUUCAGUGAAUCAUCGAAUCUUUGAACGCACAUUGCGCUCUCCGGUGUUCCGGAGAGCAUGCUGGUUUUAUUAUCAGCA